CGUAGGUGACCUACCUUGAAGAGCGGGACAACACGGGGAAACUCGUGCUAAUACCGCAUAAGCUUGUUGACUUGAAAAACAACAAGGAAAGAUGGCCUCUAUUUAUAAGCUAUCACUUUAAGAAGGGCCUGCGGUCCAUUAGCUAGUUGGUGGGGUAAUGGCCUACCAAGGCAACGAUGGAUACCUGGUCUGAGAGGACGAUCAGGCACACUGGAACUGAGACACGGUCCAG
rnacentral:rRNA from 1 species